rnacentral:rRNA from 1 species
UACGUAGGUGGCGAGCGUUGUCCGGAUUUACUGGGCGUAAAGGGAGCGUAGGCGGACUUUUAAGUGAGAUGUGAAAUACCCGGGCUCAACUUGGGUGCUGCAUUUCAAACUGGAAGUCUAGAGUGCAGGAGAGGAGAAUGGAAUUCCUAGUGUAGCGGUGAAAUGCGUAGAGAUUAGGAAGAACACCAGUGGCGAAGGCGACUCUCUGGACUGUAACUGACGCUGAGGCUCGAAAGCGUGGGGAGCAAACAGGAUUAGAUAUCCCGGUA